rnacentral:rRNA from 1 species
GACGAACGCUGGCGGCGUGCCUAAUACAUGCAAGUCGAGCGAAUCGAUGGGAGCUUGCUCCCUGAGAUUAGCGGCGGUCGGGUGAGUAACACGUGGGUAACCUGCCUGUAAGACUGGGAUAACUUCGGGAAACCGGAGCUAAUACCGGAUAAUUUCUUUUCUCGCAUGAGGAGAGAUGGAAAGAUGGUUUCGGCUAUCACUUAUAGAUGGGCCCGCGGCGCAUUAGCUAGUUGGUGAGGUAACGGCUCACCAAGGCGACGAUGCGUAGCCGACCUGAGGGGGUGAUCGGCCAGACUGGGACUGAGACACUGCCCAGACUCCUACGGGAGGCAGCAGUAGGGAAUCUUCGGCAAUGGACGAAAGUCUGACCGAGCAACGCCGCGUGAGCGAUGAAGGCCUUCGGGUCGUAAAGCUCUGUUGUCAGAGGAGAACAAGUACCGGAGUAACUGCCGGUACCUUGACGGUACCUGACCAGAAAGCCACGGCUAACUACGUGCCAGCCGCCGCCGUAAUAC